rnacentral:rRNA from 1 species
GCUUCCUACGGGAGGCAGCAGUAGGGAAUCUUCCGCAAUGGACGAAAGUCUGACGGAGCAACGCCGCGUGAGCGAUGAAGGCCUUCGGGUCGUAAAGCUCUGUUGUUAGGGAAGAACAAGUAUCGGAGUAACUGCCGGUACCUUGACGGUACCUAACCAGAAAGCCACGGCUAACUACGUGCCAGCAGCCGCGGUAAUACGUAGGUGGCAAGCGUUGUCCGGAAUUAUUGGGCGUAAAGCGCGCGCAGGCGGUCCUUUAAGUCUGAUGUGAAAGCCCACGGCUCAACCGUGGAGGGUCAUUGGAAACUGGGGGACUUGAGUACAGAAGAGGAAAGCGGAAUUCCACGUGUAGCGGUGAAAUGCGUAGAGAUGUGGAGGAACACCAGUGGCGAAGGCGGCUUUCUGGUCUGUAACUGACGCUGAGGCGCGAAAGCGUGGGGAGCAAACAGGAUUAGAUACCCUGGUAGUCCACGCCGUAAACGAUGAGUGCUAAGUGUUAGAGGGUUUCCGCCCUUUAGUGCUGCAGCUAACGCAUUAAGCACUCCGCCUGGGGAGUACGGCCGCAAGGCUGAAACUCAAAGGAAUUGACGGAAGC